ACGAAGGUGGCAAGCGUUGUUCGGAUUUACUGGGCGUACAGGGAGCGUAGGCGGUUGGGUAAGCCCUCCGUGAAAUCUCCGGGCCUAACCCGGAAAGUGCGGAGGGGACUGCUCGGCUAGAGGAUGGGAGAGGAGCGCGGAAUUCCCGGUGUAGCGGUGAAAUGCGUAGAGAUCGGGAGGAACAUCAGUGGCGAAGGCGGCUUCCUGGUCCAACACUGACACUGAGGUGCGAAAGCGUGGGGAGCAAACAGGA
rnacentral:rRNA from 1 species